rnacentral:tRNA from 1 species
UCUGAAUGGUGCAAAUAGUUAACACAUUCAACUGCUAACUGAAAGGCUGGAGGUUCGAUUCCUCUCAGAA